rnacentral:tRNA from 1 species
GAGGGUAUAGCUCAGUGGUAGAACACAUGCUUAACAUGCAUGAGGUCCUGGGUUCAAUCCGCAGUACCUCCA